rnacentral:rRNA from 1 species
UACGGGAGGCAGCAGUGGGGAAUAUUGCACAAUGGGCGAAAGCCUGAUGCAGCUAUGCCGCGUGUAUGAAGAAGGCCUUAGGGUUGUAAAGUACUUUCAUCGGGGAGGAAAAACAAAACUAAUAAUUUUAUUUCUUGACGUUACCCGAAAAAGAAGCACCGGCUAACUCCGUGCCAGCAGCCGCGGUAAUACGGAGGGUGCUAGCGUUAAUCAGAAUUACUGGGCGUAAAGAGCACGUAGGUGGUUUUUUUAAGUCAGAUGUGAAAUCCCUGGGCUUAACCUAGGAACUGCAUUUUGAAACUGAAAUACUAGAGUAUCGUAGAGGGAGGUAGAAUUCUAGGUGUAGCGGUGAAAUGCGUAGAUAUCUGGAGGAAUACCUGUGGCGAAAGCGGCCUCCUAAACGAAUACUGACACUGAGGGUGCGAAAGGCGUGGGGAGCGAAACAGGGAUUAGAUACC